GGAAGAGGUGGUGGGACAGGUGAAGGGCGCAGACAGCAUGCACAAAGGCUCCAGCUGGAAAAGAUGUAGCAAUCAAAGGAUCAAAAAUGCAGAUUCCCUGAUGCAUCAGAACACAGCAGCAAUGGUGAAUGCUCUCCUGGGGAACGCGCUUCAGGGAGUGUCUUGGGAGAAGAGCACGUGUGAGCACCAGGCCCAGAGCACGCGCCUUGCAACAUGGUUGAGCGGCUCUAGGGAGAAGAGAGGGCCCUGCUGACGCUCCCUCAAUCCCUGUCCCACCACUCCAGCGCCUUCCAGGACUGUCGAGGGACCUGCACGUUCCUAAGACCAACAGAAGGCAGGAAACCCAGCAGAGGAGGAAGCUGAUGCUGCCCCAACCAAAGCCAUGGGGGCCACAAUGGGGUGUCUAACCCUGGAAACCCCAUGUUCACCUGCUGAGCCAUGUGGACCCCACCAGCCUCCUUUCACACACUCGCCUCCGCCUCGGGUCUCCUCCCCACUCUCUCAGGAGGCCCAGCGUCCGGGACUGCCACAUGCUGACAAUGUCCAGAAACCUCCCAGGACCAUAAACUGGGAAGAACAUGGGCCUCCCUCCCAGAACAGCUCGUGAUGGUCGGGGCGGGGAGCAACAGGGUCCCCCCGUGGUGGGGGCGUAAACCCGUCUGGCCUCAUCUGGUCAAGUUGAACAUACGCUCCUCCAUGACCCACCACUGCCAUCUAUCAGCAGAUCCGCCCCAGAAGGACUCACGUCCAUGUGUCCAGGAGACAAAAACCAGAACAUUCCUGGCAGCCAGAGCAGAAGGGCCAAACUGGGACCCACCCAGAUGUUCCCUCUGAGGGACGGGCAGAGAGGGGUGUUCGAGCCACAGAGGACACGAUGAACAAGCCACAGCUCAACGGUACAGUGUGCUAUUCCACUUGGAUAAAGGUUAGAGAAGGAAGAGCCAGCGCCAUGUUGGAGGGAAGCCAGCCAUGUGGGAGAACAAAGCAGGCCCAGUCACUGCGGCCACUGUGCCCACGGCAAGGCGGGGCCACCUCUGCAGGACUGGGCAUGUCAAUCAGGGACUAGGUCUUCUGGGGAGCUGAUAGCCUCCUAAUUCUUGACCUUAGAGUGUUUGCUUUGUUAUUCAUUAUGCUGUGUAUUCAAAUUUUAUUCACUUCACAUCACAAUUGUUUAAUGGCAUAUUUUAUGUUAUAUAUAUUUUACCACAAUUUAAAAAAAUUUCUUUUUGAGACAAGGUCUUGCUCUGUCACCCAGGCUGAAGUGCAGUGGUAUGAUCACAGCUCACUGCAGCCUCGUGGACCUCCUGGGUUUAAGAGAU
rnacentral:lncRNA from 1 species